AUACGUAGGGUGCGAGCGUUGUCCGGAAUGAUUGGGCGCAAAGGGCGCGUAGGCGGCCCGGUAAGUCUGGAGUGAAAGUCCUGUUUUUAAGAUGGGAAUUGCUUUGGAUACUGUCGGGCUUGAGUGCAGGAGAGGUAAGUGGAAUUCCCAGUGUAGCGGUGAAAUGCGUAGAGAUUGGGAGGAACACCAGUGGCGAAGGCGACUUACUGGACUGUAACUGACGCUGAGGCGCGAAAGUGUGGGGAGCAAACAGGAUUAGAUACCCUGGUAGUCCACACUGUAAACGAUGAAUGCUAGGUGUAGGGGGUAUCGACCCCUUCUGUGCCGCAGUCAACACAAUAAGCAUUCCGCCUGGGGAGUACGGCCGCAAGGUUGAAACUCAAAGGAAUUGACGGGG
rnacentral:rRNA from 1 species